AUGACUUCCAGGAAUCUCGGGUUCCAACUUGCGCCAACAACUCAGUGCUCUGUUCUCCCACCUCACCUUGACCUUCAUCGCUUAUUCAACCCGUUGUCCCCACCAGCUUUCCUUAAAUUUAUAUUUUAUUCAUUUUCUGUCAUCUUUAUUUCCACACCCUUCCAUCUCAGAAGCUGGCUCGUACCCGUGGGUGCCAGCAGGGCUGUGAGGGGAGGCAGGGCUGCCGGGGGCUGCUCCCACUGGUUCCGGCCGGUUCCAGCCGGUUCCGGCCCGGGGUCUCCCUCGCUGAAGGAAGGGGCUGCAGAACGGACAAAAUGGCGCCCAGCGGAGACGUGUGAGGGGAAACAUGUGAGGAACCGCCCUGCCAGACCAGAGUGGAGAAGGGCAGCUGCUGGAACAAAUGUCUGACACUAAACAGCGAAUCCUACCGCAGACCUGAUUUCAUCCAGUCCCAGCAUCCUUCAAAAAAGGUAAUCAAACACUAAAUAUGUAGAGGAUUAAUGAUCACUAAUCAAUGUUUGCAUACAGGAUCUGAGCACACUCAUAUUACAACAUUCAGCAAUAAUAGGAGGAGAACACACUGGAUCAAAUGGAUCCCCCUGACCAUGGCACAGAAAGUUAAUUUAGGAACAUCCUCUGCCAGGGAAAGAACUACAUGUGCAAAUACCACAGAUCAGGAGCCAUAAGUUUUAAAACAAAUUAUUACCGAAAAAAUUAAAAAUAUAUAGUAUCCUGUGUCCCCAUUUCCCCAUAGCUUUUUGAAAUCCAUUCUCAAGUAUGUGAAUCUUGCAGUUUUACUCACAUUAGUAAAGGGAGCAGAAAAUAGAUCUUUAAAUUGUUAAAAUUAAAAAAAAAAAUCUAAGGUAGAUCAUUAAAGCACAGAAUUUUAUACCUGUCCAUUAUGUCCAUAUUGUACCUAUAUACUUGGGUGGGGAAAAGCACACACACAAACACACACUCACAAUGGGGCCAACCCUUUUCAUCUGAUAAUUCCAGCCAAUAAAGCUGUGAAAAUUACCA
rnacentral:lncRNA from 1 species